rnacentral:rRNA from 1 species
CCUACGGGAGGCAGCAGUUAGGAAUAUUGGACAAUGGGGGAAACCCUGAUCCAGCCAUGCCGCGUGUGUGACGAAGGCCGUAGGGUUGUAAAGCACUUUCAGCUGUGAAGAUAAUGACAGUAGCAGCAGAAGAAGCUCCGGCUAAAUUCGUGCCAGCAGCCGCGGUAAUACGAAUGGAGCGAGCGUUGUUCGGAAUCACUGGGCGUAAAGGGUGCGCAGGCGGUCAUGAAAGUUAGAAGUGAAAUCCCCAGGCUCAACCUGGGAACUGCUUUUAAAACUCCAUGACUAGAGUACUGGAGAGGUUGGCGGAAUUCCAAGUGUAGCAGUGAAAUGCGUAGAUAUUUGGAGGAACACCAAUGGCGUAGGCAGCCAACUGGACAGUUACUGACGCUCAUGCACGAAAGCGUGGGGAUCAAACAGGAUUAGAUACCCUGGUAGUCCACGCCCUAAACGAUGUGUGCUAGUUGUCGGGACCUUUAGGUCUCGGUGACGCAGCUAACGCUUUAAGCACACCGCCUGAGGACUACGGUCGCAAGACUAAAACUCAAAUGAAUUGACGG